rnacentral:rRNA from 1 species
UACGUAGGGUGCGAGCGUUGUCCGGAAUUAUUGGGCGUAAAGAGCUUGUAGGCGGUCUGUCGCGUCUGCUGUGAAAAUCCGGGGCUCAACCCCGGACUUGCAGUGGGUACGGGCAGACUAGAGUGAUGUAGGGGAGACUGGAAUUCCUGGUGUAGCGGUGAAAUGCGCAGAUAUCAGGAGGAACACCGAUGGCGAAGGCAGGUCUCUGGGCAUUAACUGACGCUGAGGAGCGAAAGCAUGGGGAGCGAACAGG